rnacentral:rRNA from 1 species
AUUGAACGCUGGCGGCAUGCCUUACACAUGCAAGUCGAACGGCAGCGCGGGAGCAAUCCUGGCGGCGAGUGGCGAACGGGUGAGUAAUACAUCGGAACGUGCCCAAUCGUGGGGGAUAACGCAGCGAAAGCUGUGCUAAUACCGCAUACGAUCUACGGAUGAAAGCAGGGGAUCGCAAGACCUUGCGCGAAUGGAGCGGCCGAUGGCAGAUUAGGUAGUUGGUGAGGUAAAGGCUCACCAAGCCUUCGAUCUGUAGCUGGUCUGAGAGGACGACCAGCCACACGGGGACUGAGACACGGCCCAAACCCCUACGGGGGGAAGGAGGGGGGAAUUUUGGAAAAGGGGCGAAAGCCUGAUCCACCCAUGCCGGGGGCAGGAUGAAGGCUUUUGGGUUGUAAACUUUUUUUGUACGGAAAGAAACGGUUUUUUCUAAAAAAGAAGGCUAAGGGCGGGACCUUAAGAAUAAGCCCCGGCUAACUACGU